rnacentral:rRNA from 1 species
CAGCACCUCAAGUGGUCAGGAUGAUUAUUGGGCCUAAAGCAUCCGUAGCCGGCGCUGUAAGUUUUCGGUUAAAUCUGUACGCUCAACGUACAGGCUGCUGGGAAUACUGCAGCGCUAGGGAGUGGGAGAGGUAGACGGUACUCGGUAGGAAGGGGUAAAAUCCUUUGAUCUAUUGAUGACCACCUGUGGCGAAGGCGGUCUACCAGAACACGUCCGACGGUGAGGGAUGAAAGCUGGGGGAGCAAACCGGAUUAGAGACCCGCGUAGUCC